CAACAGUAUCUCAGAGAGGUAAAUCAGCCUGCUUAAGAUCACCAGCAUGUAAGUUAUAGAGUUGGGAUCCCAAACUCGAUCCCUAGGAUCCUUCUCUAUGGUAUUUUUUGCUAGAUUAGGGCACCCUAGAGAUUUGAAGAGACUCAUCAGAGCCUGAAUGGUUGGGUCACAGCUGUUCCAACUUCUUCCCCACAGUCUUGCCACCUGGUGCCACCUGGCCCUAUGGUUCAUUGCCAGGUGGAAAGGCCACCUCAUUCCAUAACAAUCAGAGCUUGGAAUGAAAGCAAUGAAGUAGACAGCUGUCCUUUCCUGUGAUCUGUUUUCAUUGCAUUUGCAGCUGAGAUAUUCAGAUGUUCCUUCCAAGUGAUAAUUUUCUGUUUGUUUACCCUGGAAAUUUGAUGCCUAAGCUAGGUUGUGCCUGGCAAGAAGAGAAUUCAGCAGGGUAGUUGGUGACAUCUGAGACUGGGAGGAAAAAUUGGCACCAAGAGGUGCAUUCACAGCCAGCAAUGAGCAGCAGGGAAGAAAUUCUGAUUUGGUGAAGGUAGAGUAUGUGCAGACAAAUAGUUGGAAGAGUCAGUCAAUGGAGGAACUCUCCCUGGAAUUAUGCCUAAGAGCAGUGGCCGAUAGAAUAUCACCAUCGCGGCAACACUAACAGAGUGUUGGUCCCCCCACCACCUCCUGCUACAUGGGACCUCAUCGUCAGCCACACCCAGUUCUGCCGACACCCAUCCUCACCUCCUCCUGGAAGUCUGGGUCAGCACCGCCACAUCGGUCUCCACUCCUGGCCCCUUCCUCUACGUGCCGUCUCCCUAUCUAGCAAAAGAAAUGGACGCUUCAGGCCAAACCCAGAUGUUUCAGACUAGUUCCCUUCUAAUCUUCUGUGGAAAAGCCAUGCCUGCAAAGAACAUAGGCUUAGUGGUGAACUGUCAGGGCAUGUGGGCCAAGCCUCUCAGGCGUGUCCGACUCUGAGUGACCCCAUGGACUGUGGCCCACCAGGCUCCCCUGUCCAUGGGAUUCUCCAGGCAAGAACACGAGUGGGUUGCCAUGCCCUCCUCCAGGGGAUCUUCUGGACCCAGGGAUCAAACCUGCCUCUCUUCCAAAUUGUCACUCACCAGGCAAAAGCAGAGAGGUGGAUUCUUUACCCACUGAGCCGCCAGAGAAGCUAUCUGUUUAGAGGGAGGCACAGAGAUCCUGUCUGCUUCAUGUGGACGACUGCUUUACGUCUCUGAACGUUGCUGUGUAAGCGGCAGCUGCUGCAGCUAUCUUGUGACCAUGCGGUACAGGCCAACAGAAUCAGAAGCCAGUCUUCUCAGAGACCUUAUAUCAUUGGCUUCCUGAAUCAGUACUUAGCAAGCAUUCAUUUUUAAACUUAUCCUCAGUGAGUCCUGUUACUUGUGGAAGAAAACAUUUCCAAUCAGAUGAGGGACUGAGGGGUAUAAAGUGGUUUGCAUAAAGGGCUUGAGGGUUAAAAAUACAUGAACAUAUUUCAGGAUGUAAAAGAACUUUCAGAGGAGUGAGAAUGAUUACAGACAGUUGAGGUGGUGUGAUAAGAAAAGAGAGGGACCAUAGCUUGUCCAGCUUUUAUUCUCCUUAAUUGAAAAAAAAAUAAAAAUGCUUAAGGAGGAACAAUUUUCUGUUGGGUUCUAUUCUGAGCACUGGGGAUAAAGCCCAAAUAAAACAGAUAGUAAUCCUUCCACCCAUGGAGUUAGCAUUCUAGGGGGGUGAAGAAGUGCUGGGCAUGGUGCAGUUUUAAGUAAAGUGGUCAAGGAAGCUCUCGUUGAAAGGGGACCACUGCACAAAAGACCUAAAGGAGAUGGAAGAGCAGGUGAGGUGAAUAUCCAGCAGAAAAACAAUCCAGGGAGAGGGAUCAGGAACGGCAAAGCAGAAGAGAGGCUGUCCCUGGAACUUUCAAGGAAGGAGGAAAAGCAUGAGCUGGAGAGGAAGAAGUCCUAGGAAAUAAAUGCAGAGAAGUGCUGGGGAGGGGCGUGGUGUGUAGGACCCUGUAAAUCAUUGAAAGGUUUCAGAUUUUCUUUCAAAUGAGCCACAAAUGCAUGGGGUGGUGAGGGGGGUUUGAUCAAGAAGCAUCAUAGGUGUUACAUCUCACAGAAUGACACCUGUUAAGUUCAAAGCAGAUAGAGGGGAACGAGGACAGUAGAACAGAAACCAGUUGGGGAGGUUUCUUUAAUAAUGCACAUAGAUGGUGUAAGUGGUUUGGACAAGGCUGAGCUUGGUAUUAUAAAUGUGGUGUGAGAGUUUGGGAUUUCCAUCUUUUCUGAUGACUGAAUGCCACAGUUUGAUGAUGGACUGAAUAUGAGCUAUAAGAGAAAAAGAAGAGUCAAGACUAAUCCCAAGGGAUGUAUACCCAACAACUGCAAAGAUCGAUUUGUGAUUUAUAAAGUUGGGAAUUAUUGUGGAGAAAUCAGAAUUUGGUUUGGGAUUUGUCCAUCAACAUGUCGUUUAGGUGUGUAAGUGGAGAUGCCAAACGUGAAUGGACGUAUGAAUCUGAAAUUUAGGAAAGAGUCUUGUGUUGGAUAUAGAAGUGAGAGCAAUCUUCCAAGUAAAGAUAUAUUUAAAGCCACAGGACUGGAAUCACCAGGAGGGUGAGAGGGGAAUAUCAGGACUUCAAAGACUGACAGUUGACAUAUUUCAGUGAUAAGAGACACCAGAGAUGAACAGAAACAAGCAAAAGAGACUGAGAAAGGGCACUCUGAAAGAAAAGGCAGGAGUUAUGGUAACCUGGAAGCCAAGUGAAGAAAGUGCUGAGCAUGAGCAGUGAGUCGACAUCAUACCUUGAGUUAGUUAGGGCUGAGUCUAGAUCUCCAAUCACCAAUUCUAACUCUAAGCACAGGGGAGAUGUUGGAGUGGAGUCACCAACCUCAACUUGCUUCAGUCACAGAUUUAACAAAUCACUACAGUAUUUUCUGUCAGGGACAGAAUGUAGAAAGGGUUAGAACUGAAGUCCACAUUCUGAAUGUAAGAGAAAAAAGAACACUGUCAGGAUUAGUGGAUGUUUACAUCAUAGUACUUUUUCCUUUAUUUUAAGAUUAAAUAUUUAUUCUACCAAAAAGACAGAGAUAGCUUUUCCACCCAGUUGAUGAGCCAAGACUGCUCAGGAAGCAUACCAGCAGGAUAAGAAGGCCCUGGAGAGUCUUUAUCAUAUAGACAUGCGUGUCAAGUAAUGUGAGAAAUUCCUAAGAUAGAAAAGGAAAGAAAAAAAAAAAAAAACUAGUCUCAGCUUUGUUCAUCAUUAAUGAACAAGAAGGAAAAGAGAAAGCCAUCUCUCUCUCCAGCAGAGAGAAAUGAUGGAACAAGGAGCUCUUAUCAUACCACUCUCCAUGCUUCAUAAAAUAGGAGUAACUUUGGCAGCCAGUCAAAGCGAGAGAGGAAAUAUGCAAAGCACACACGUACGCUUCUGCACAUGCUGGGUGAGAAAGGAGAAACUAGAGCUUCAAGUUUGAUUUGCUGAGAAUGGAAACUAAAUUAUUGUAUGCACACACACACGUGUGUGUGUGUGUGUGUGUGUGUGUGUGUGUGUGUGUGUGUGUAAAUAAAUUCUGGACCUUGUAGCAAGAGUCAAACAUUCUCUAUACUGACUGCCUUAGUUUGUGAUUUCAUGUACUCCUCUUGGCUUCUAAAAAAUUAAAUUAUCUUUUAUCAACCUCCUUUGUAUCCAAUAGCUGGGAAUUUUGGCACUAAGAGCAUUCAAAACACGACUAUACUGAACUUUCCCUUAAUUUAAAAAAGUCCUUUCAUUUUCCUAGAGAGGUCAAUUAUGUUAAUAUUAAACAGAUCAAGAUCUCUUACUAUUUUCAAAUAUUCCAAAGCACAUUAAAAAUAUCUAGUUAUACAUAAUGGGUGACAGAAUAGUUAUGUAUGUUUACAAUAAAUUUAAAAAAUGGGUAAGUUCCCUAAGAACUUCUAUCCUAUCACACUUGACUAGGGCUAUAUAAACUGCAACCACAAAGGGUUAUACCUGGAAGUGGCUAUGGCGAUAAAAUUGAACUUUGUUACACCUAACAAAAAUACAAUAAUUUUCUUUAUUAAAAGUGCUCUAUGUAUACUGUCUCCUGUUGUUGUAAUAGCUGCUGCUGCUGCUAAGUCGCUUCAGUCAUGUCGGACUAUUUACAACCCCAUAGAUGGCAGCCCACAAGGAAUAAUACUGUCAAAGACUGAUGGGAUUUUUACAAAUUCUUUGUAAGUUAAAGAGAUUUGGCUCAAGUUGUGAAUUUGUAUUAUGUGUGGAAAGAAUAUGUUUCUGAUAUGAUCUGCAUUUCUACCGAGGUUAAGGUCAAAUCUCAAAAAAACACCAAGUGUACAGAAAAACCUUAGAGAACAUAUAACCCAAACCUUUCAUUUGACUUAGGUGACAAACUACAGUUCUGAGAGGAUAAGUGGCUUGCCUAAAGUCUUACAGGAAAUUAGAAAAAAUCUAUAAUUAUAUUUCACUUAUUAAUAAGGGCAUAACUCAAAGAUAUUCCAAUAAUUUUUUUUUAAAAA
ensembl:lincRNA